ACUCAUGAUGUUGACAUUUCAAGAGUAGCCCAUUGAAUCGCUCCCAUGUUUCGAAAAACUGCUCGUCUUCUCUCUGUGUAAAUUCUGAAAUUUCCCUACGAAU
rfam:Citrus clementina cultivar Clemenules unplaced genomic scaffold scaffold_5, whole genome shotgun sequence.